rnacentral:rRNA from 1 species
UACGAAGGGGGCUAGCGUUGCUCGGAAUUACUGGGCGUAAAGGGCGCGUAGGCGGCCUUCUAAGUCGAACGUGAAAUCCCUGGGCUCAACCCAGGAACUGCGUUCGAUACUGGAAGGCUUGAAUCCGGGAGAGGGAUGCGGAAUUCCAGGUGUAGCGGUGAAAUGCGUAGAUAUCUGGAGGAACACCGGUGGCGAAGGCGGCAUCCUGGACCGGCAUUGACGCUGAGGCGCGAAAGCCAGGGGAGCAAACGGG